GUGUUAUGAAUGAAUGGGAGAGAGAUUAUGUGAAAAUGAUUGCAUUUGUUUCAUAUUAGAUAUAAUGCAGACAUAAGCACACCUAUUUUGUAAUUUUCUUGUUGUAACCUUUUGGGGAAUAGUGGUUAUUUUUAAGCUCAAGUUCUGAAAUGCAUUGCAUCAGAUGCAUGAUUUUUAAAUUACAUGUAGUUAUAUUUGUAAAGAGAUUUACUAAUGAUUUACUUUUUCUGGAUAAGAAAUUUCUAUGAGAGAAAAUGAAACGGAGCAUUUCAAAUAUGCAUUGUACAUGUAUAACAUUUGAAAAUCGCAUGAGAAGUUAUUUAACAUUUCAUCAUCAUUCCCUUGUCACUGAUGAUUAUAACGUGAGAAGAUGUCUUGGUUACUGAGAUAGCUUUGAGAACACAUGCUUUAUGUUCAUAAACUGUUCAAUUUAUUCUUUUAUUUGCGGUGUGAAUGUUCGACUUGUAAUAAAUUUCUUUAAGGAG
rnacentral:misc_RNA from 1 species